UGGGGAAUAUUGCACAAUGGGCGCAAGCCUGAUGCAGCCAUGCCGCGUGUGUGAAGAAGGCCUUCGGGUUGUAAAGCACUUUCAGCGGGGAGGAAGGCGUUAAGGUUAAUAACCUUGGCGAUUGACGUUACCCGCAGAAGAAGCACCGGCUAACUCCGUGCCAGCAGCCGCGGUAAUACGGAGGGUGCAAGCGUUAAUCGGAAUUACUGGGCGUAAAGCGCACGCAGGCGGUUUGUUAAGUCAGAUGUGAAAUCCCCGGGCUCAACCUGGGAACUGCAUCUGAUACUGGCAAGCUUGAGUCUCGUAGAGGGGGGUAGAAUUCCAGGUGUAGCGGUGAAAUGCGUAGAGAUCUGGAGGAAUACCGGUGGCGAAUGCGGCCCCCUGGACGAAGACUGACGCUCAGGUGCGAAAGCGUGGGGAGCAAACAGG
rnacentral:rRNA from 1 species